AGUAAUAUCACAAUAGACAAUAAACAAAAAAAUAGAAAAAUAGAGGCUCAGGUAGUGUAAAACAAAUUUCAACCAAGAUCAGUAGCUUGGGCAAGAGGAAAAAAAAUAGAAGAGAUGGUUGCCGAGGGAUUAGCCUGUUCAAAUCUCCGUUUUUCCAAAAAGAUUAUACACCAAGACUUAAGAGAUGGUUGCCGAUGGAUUAGACCACCCAAAUCUCUUUUUUUGUUCUCUUUGUACCAUCACGGACUCAAAAGAGAUCGAAAGAACUAAAAUGUCAAAAGUUCCUACAAAUUAGCACAUGAGCAAUAGCUAUCAUCCACACUUAUCCUUACAUAUCAUCA
rnacentral:lncRNA from 1 species